UCGGGUAUGGUGUAGCGGUAACAUCGUUGACUCUCACUUUUUCAAAAGUGAUUUGGUCCCUCAACAGCCCCGGGUUUGACUCCCGGUAUCCGAG